rnacentral:rRNA from 1 species
AGAGUUUGAUCAUGGCUCAAAACGUACGCUGGCGGCACGCCUAACACAUGCAAGUCGAACGCAGUAGCAAUACUGAGUGGCAGACGGGUGAGUAACAUGUGGGAAUCUGCCUUGUGGUUCAGGACAACAUUGGGAAACCGAUGCUAAUACUGGAUAAGCCCUUACGGGGAAAGUUUUAAUGCCAUAAGAUGAGCCCGCAUUUGAUUAGUUAGUUGGUGAGGUAAUGGCUCACCAAGACAAUGAUCAAUAGCUGAUCUGAGAGGAUGAUCAGCCACACGGGGACUGAGACACGGCCCAGACUCCUACGGGAGGCAGCAGUGGGGAAUCUUGCACAAUGGAGGAAACUCUGAUGCAACGAUGCCGCGUGAGUGAAGAAGGCCUUUGGGUUGUAAAGCUCUUUUGUAGGGGAAGAUAAUGACUGUACCCUAAGAAUAAGGUCCGGCUAACUUCGUGCCAGUAGCCGCGGUAAUACNAAGGGACCUAGCGUACUUCGGAAUUACUGGGCGUAAAGCGCGCGUAGGCCGU